GAUGAAGAACGCAGUGAAAUGCGAUAAGUAAUGUGAAUUGCAGAAUUCAGUGAAUCAUCGAAUCUUUGAACGCACAUUGCGCCCGCCAGUAUUCUGGCGGGCAUGCCUGUUCGAGCGUCAUUUCAACCAUCAAGCCCCCGGCUUGUGUUGGGGACCUGCGGCUGCCGCAGGCCCUGAAAUGCAGUGGCGGGCUCGCUGUCACUCCGAGCGUAGUAGUUACAUCUCGCUCUGGGCGUGCUGCGGGUUCCGGCCGUGAAACCCCCUACUUCUCAAGGUUGACCUCGGAUCAGGUAGGAAUACCCGCUGAACUUAAGCAUAUCAAUAAGCGGAGGA
rnacentral:misc_RNA from 1 species